GAAGCUUUGGUUUCAUUACCUCCCUCAUUUCUUGUUACCAGCUUCUUCCUGCUCUUGCAAAGUCGAAGGCUACAUGAGAAGGUGUUUCUGAUUGAAGUAGUGAUUCAGUGAAGGCAGUAGCUUUGGUGGUGCUGAUUUUGCAUUAUGCGGUUGAAUAUGUAUAAUCAGAAACAACCUUUCCACAUUUAGAGAAGGAUUGUUAUAUCUAAAUGCGA